ensembl:lncRNA
CCACAGUAAGCACGAGGAGUUGGCUCAGGUCUCCGACCUGACUCAUGCAAUCUCCUCGUGUGCCCCACCCAAAAAAAAUCUUGGGGCUGCCUCUCGGGCUUCCGUGCCAGCCGUGUACCCUCAUAUCGAUGCCGUUCCUCCUGUGCUAUCUCCACCUGCUUCCAUGGCAGGUUCUUGUCCCCUGCCAUUACCUCCUCCCAGGUCCAGGAUGUCUUCCACUCCUCUUUCUCCCGGGUCCAAGAUGUCCACUCCUUUUUAGCACGCUGCUUGGUCCUAUUCUGAUGUGGACAUUUGCCCGGCUCUGGGGAGGGAACCCACCUCCACUACCUGUCCUCCUGAGCGCAUCUACAUUCCCAUGGGGAUAAGGGAGCGACUGUUGACCUGGGCACACACAGUUGUCGUCGCUGGACAUCCUGGGAUCAUCCGUACUACACAAUCACUCUCCGAAAAGUUGCUGAGGCACUUUUCCAGCAGGUCUUCCGGCGCUAUGGCCUUCCAGAGGACAUCGUCUCUGACCGUGACCCCCAAUUCACGUCACAGGUAUGGAGGGAUUUCGUAGAGAAACUGGGGAGUCACGGUCAGCCUCACUUCCGUGUACCGGCCUCAGUCCAACGGACAGGUGGAGAUGAUAAACCAGGAGCUGGGGAGGUUCCUGAGAGUCACUGCCAGGACCGGCAAAGGGAGUGGGCCCGAUUCCUUCCCUGGGUGGAAUACACCCAGAAUUCAUUACGUCACUCUUCCACUGAGCUUACCCCCCUCCAGCGUGUCCUGGGUUAUCAGCUGGCCCUGGCUCCGUGGACUCUGAGCCAGACCAAGGCCCCUGCAUUGGACAAAUGGUUCCCGGCCUGCAGAGGAGGUUUGGAGUGAUGCACAUGUGAAGCUCCAGUGUGCCGUCCGUUGCCAGAAGAAGCGAUUGCCCCUGCAGUAAGGCGCCCGUGUUCCAUCCUGGUGAUUGCGUAUGGCUCUCUACCGGGAACCUCACUCCGCCUGCCCUACAAGAGGCUGAGCCCUUGGUUUGUGGGGCCGUUCCUGGUUCUCCGAAGGAUUGACGAGGUGACGUAUAGGCUUUGUUUCAUGCCUCCCUUCUCAGGCCGGUGGUUCCUGGCCCCCUGGUUGAUGCUGUCCCCCACAACCCCCCCCCCUCCCCGGAUGCUGAGGGGGAUCCUGCCUAUGCCGUCAGAUCCCUACUGGACUCCAGACGUUGUGGGGGUUGGCUCCAGUACCUGGUGGACUGGGAGGGGUAUGGCCCAGAGGAGCAGUGUUUAGGUUCCGGUGGAGGACACUGGACCCCAACAUCAUUUGUGAUUUCCAUUUUCGCCGCCUGGACCGGCCUGCUCCUUGGGGCUGUCCCUCCUGCGGCUGGAGUUGCGUGUCGGGGUACUGUCAAGUCUACUCUCGCUCCACCCCUCCGGCGUUUGAAAUUGCCAGUUUACUAACCACCGGUCCUGGCAUUCAUCAUUACGUGCACAUGGCAUUCAUCAUUACGCACACCUAUGCUUCAUCAAUAGGCACACCUGGACUCCAUCACUUCAAUGAUUACCUCCCCUAUGUCUGUCACUCUCUUAGUUCCAUUCCCCAGGCAGUAUUGACGAUGUGUUUCAUGUCUGUACGCUACUCGUGUAUCUUGCACUGUUGCAUGUUUAUUAUUAAACUCACCACUUGCACUUCC